GCAAUGUCUAAAAUUUAAUGAUACUAUUUCGCGUACUAUUGACGUUACGUGUGGUGUGCCCCAGGGCUCAAUCUUGGGGCCAAUCUUAUUCCUUCUCUAUAUAAACGACCUUCCUAAACUGAGCUACACGGCUGGACAGGGUCCGGUCGAAGCCCGGUGCCAUGCUGCUGGGGGCUGCUGCGGCCUGCGACGGAUGGCGGCUGUUGCUUCCGCUCCCUGAGGAGAUGCCGUCCUUGUGGCGCACAGGGCGGCUACCCACGGUUGCAGCCCGAUGGCUUCAUUCUCGGGACGCGGCCCGUUGGAUGUGCGACGACCGGCACCUUGCGACCGCUGCGGUGACCGGCAGCGGUGCCCCCUCUCCUGACUUGACAACGGACUACAUCUUCGUGCUGCCAUGGGGUGGCGCCACUGGUGGGACGAGCGCCACUGGUGGAGCAGGCGCCAUCUCUGAGGCGGUACAGCCGACCGGCUGGCUAACGGCGUCGAGCGCCUGAUGAAUGCUGCGCUGAGCGGCGAUACUGAGUCGCCGCUCUCGAACUGUCGACGUCCCACUGAGCUUGUUGGACAUGACUACGGGGCAGCCGACUAGACUACAUCCUCGGCCGCGGCCCGUUGGAUGUGCGAUGACCGGCACCUUGCGACCGCUGCGGUGACCGGCAGCGGUGCCCCCUCUCCUGACUUGACAACGGGCUACAUCUUCAUGCUGCCAUGGGGUGGCGCCACUGGUCGGACGAGCGCCACUGGUGGAGCAGGCGCCAUCUCUGAGGCGGUACAGCCGACCGGCUGGCUAACGGCGUCGAGCGCCUGAUGAAUGCUGCGCUGAGCGGCGAUACUGAGUCGCCGCUCUCGAACUGUCGAAGUCCCAGUGAGCUUGUUGGACAUGACUACGGGGCAGCCGACUAGACUUCAUUCUCGGCCGCGGCCCGUUGGAUGUAUGAUGACCGGCACCUUGCGACCGCUGCGGUGAGCGACAGCGGUGCCCCCUCUCCUGACUUGACAACGGGCUACAUCUUCAUGCUGCCAUGGGGUGGCGCCACUGGUGGGACGAGCGCCACUGGUGGAGCAGGCGCCACCUCUGUGGCGCUACUGCCGACCUUGGACCGGCGGGAUGACGGCGUCGAACGCCCUAUGACUGUGUGCUGGACGGCGAUACUGAGUCGCCGCUCUCCGGGCACCAUCCCCAUCGACCAAGGCCCGGCUGGUGGUUAGCGCCGGGUGCCGGAUGGCCGCUGCGCUCGGCGGCGGUGCUGGGUCGCCGCUCUCUGGAAUGACCGCUGACUCGUCUUUUUGAUCUCGUCUUUGUGUUACCGUCUGGUUAGGCACUGUCAAACUCCCCAAUAUAACCUUUAACACUAACUGUCCGUAUUCUAACAAAACUAACAUGUGAAUCCUUUCCGACCAAUCCCGUUUGACAGUGCCAUAAAUUAUGAAUUGUUCAAUGUGUGAUCCCAAAUUAUAAUCAAUAAACGGAACGGAACGGAA
rnacentral:lncRNA from 1 species